AACAUCGCCUCCUGCAAAAAUCAAUGUAUAGGAGGUCCUGCCUGCCCAGUGACAACUUGUUAAACGGCCGCGGUAUUUUGACCGUGCUAAGGUAGCGCAAUCACUUGUCUUUUAAAUGAAGACCUGUAUGAAUGGUGGAACGAGGGCUUAACUGUCUCCCUUCUCCCGUCAAUGAAAUUGAUCUGCCCGUGCAGAAGCGGGCAUACAUAUACAAGACGAGAAGACCCUUUGGAGCUUAUUGGGGCGACCGCGGGGGAAAACAAAGCCCCCACGUAAAACCAAGAAAGACAUCUCUAAGCCACAGAACAUCUGACCAAAAGAUCCGGCCCACAAGCCGAUCAACGGACCAAGUUACCCUAGGGAUAACAGCGCAAUCCCCUCCAAGAGUUCAUAUCGACGAGAGGGUUUACGACCUCGAUGUUGGAUCAGGACAUCCUAAUGGUGCAGCCGCUAUUAAGGGUUCGUUUGUUCAACGAUUAAAGUCCUACGUGAUCU
rnacentral:rRNA from 1 species